rnacentral:rRNA from 1 species
GGGGUGAGCUCGUGGACGAGCGGCGGACGGGUGAGUAACACGUGGGCAACCUGCCUGUAAGAUCGGAAUAACCCCGGGAAACCGGGGCUAAUGCCGGGUAAUACUUUCUUUCGCAUGAAGGAAAGUUGAAAGAUGGCUUCUCGCUAUCACUUACAGAUGGGCCCGCGGCGCAUUAGCUAGUUGGUGAGGUAACGGCUCACCAAGGCGACGAUGCGUAGCCGACCUGAGAGGGUGAUCGGCCACACUGGGACUGAGACACGGCCCAGACUCCUACGGGAGGCAGCAGUAGGGAAUCUUCCGCAAUGGACGAAAGUCGGACGGACCAACGCCGCUUGAACUAUGAAGGUCUUCGGAUCGUAAAGUUAUGUUGUAAGGGAAGACCAUGUACGGUGCAAUAUGGCCUGUACGUCGUCG